UGUCUAUUUUUUUUUUUUUCCCUUCUUUGCCUUUUUCUUUGGAAUGAAAUGAGAUGAACAUGGUAAAUGUUGGGAGUCCUACUUUGAAUGUGAUAUGACCUGAAAAUAUAUGUAUAAAUGGGUGAUAUAGUCAUCCUUACAAGACGGUAUCAUAGUCUAUCCUAGAUCCAUCGGGCCCCAUGGUAUCGGGUUUCAAGGACACACUCCCAAUAUCGAGUUUUAAGGAGAUAGCAACCAAAAGUACAAAUUUUGAGAUUAAGAAGUUGACACGGUGAAAAGGCAAAUGAUGAUAAAUAUGUAGUAGCAAAUAUAGCAAAUGGAAUGAAGUGAAGAUUAAAGAGAAGAGAUAGUUAUUAUAUAUAGAAAAAAGUGGUAGAAUGAAUGAGAUGAAUAAAACAGGUGGAAUCAAAGUUGCACCCCUUUGCUAGGGAAUCAAGCACUCUAUGCUCUAGAAUUCCCACUAUUUAACUUUGGAACUAUCUUGCUUUUCUUUGUUUUUAAUCUUGUGUUGUAAUAUCUGUACCAAACUUGAAUUUUAUGCUUUUUGGAAUGCUUCAUCUUAAUGAUCCUAUUUUGCGCCUUAUAGCGGGGUUGUUUAUUUGGAUGAAUAUAGUAGGAUGACUUAUUCUCCAACACAGAUGUAGGAACUCUCUUUAUAAGGAAAACAGGCAUGAUCCCAGUAUUUCAUAGGUUAGUUGGCUUGUGAUAGCAAGGUGAGACCACUUUCAACUAAGUGCCUAUGUUUUCUUUCCACUAGGCACGACACCUUAUACGAUGAAUGAUCUUGCAAUUAAAUUGCAAUUCAACCCUAGAUGUGAAAUGAACAAAUUUGCUUAAUUUCCAUAUGCUUAUGACUAAUUUUCUUGGCUCAUAGCAUCCAUGAUUGUUAUAUAUAUGGCUUUACUCCAAACCGGUGCAACCCACGGGCCGAAUAAUAAUGUGGUUGUUUAAUUUACCAUGGUCAACAACAUCCAUGAUUGAUAACAUCCAUGAUUGAUAUAUAAAUGGUGUUCCGCUGAACCCGUGCAACGCACGGGUGGCCGACUAGUUAUACUAAAAGAUGGUGGACUUGCAAGUGCAAAAUGGAAACCCUAAAUAAACCCUAAUUGAAUUGGCCAAUUGGUGAUCAACAACCAUUCAUAUUGUCCAAUCAUACUUUGUCAAUUUCGUCCACUCAUGUGCUGCCAAUUUCCACCCAAUGAUCAUGUUCCACAUGCCUGGCUACAAGGUUUGGUAAACUUUGAAACCAUCUAUAUGUCAUCCAUGCAAAGCUUAGCAUGACAAGUGUGUGGGUUGUGAUGCAGAGAGGUGACUAGAAGCUUCCACAUGACUAGCAAUAUGUAACACAUGCAUUGGGCCCAGUGAGAUAUAUAUUUCUCUUUUCCCAAAUUUUUUUCAUUUGUAGAGUUUUUUUCUCUCUCUUCUCUCCCUCUCUCUCGUACGCUCUCUCUUUUCUCACCAUCUCACAAUUUCAUCUCUCCUCUCUGCCUCAUCUCAUCCUUCACCAUAACAUCCACCACAACCCCCAUCACCACCUACAAAUCAAUCACUCGUCAGAGUGAGGGAGUGGCCGAGUGAGAGAAUAUUUGCCGGGGAGGGAAGUUCCGGUGAGGAAGAGAGUUCCGGCCGAGAUAGAGAGUUCUGGUGGCGGUUCGCGGCGGUGUUUGGCGACGACGAUGCUUCUUGCUCCUUCGUUCCUCUAGUUUGAUCUUAGUUUCUAUACAAUAUUUAUUUUAUUUUAUUUUUCGUUGCUUUUUUUUUUUGCUGGUGAAGAUGGUUGAAGAUUGGAGGUGGUGGUGAUGUGUGGUGGUUAUGGUGGAUGGCUCCAUGGAAGGAUAAGGCUCCUCCAGACCUCCACCUUCCUCCAAGCCAGCCAAAUCUGGUGGUGGCAAGCAGAAGAAGAUUCAUUUUUUGUAGACUCAAAUCCAGAUAUAAGUUGUUACUGCAAACUGAUCAUGCCACAACAACAUCAAAGAGACUGUUUACCAACAUGAGUUUGACUGCAAGAAAGGCAAAAGUGAAUGAAGAUGCUUCUGGUGACAUAAGUGCACUGCAGUGGCAAAUCCAACAAUUGAAGGGUCAACUAUCCUUUCUGACGAAGAAUAAAUUUUUUCCACCACUGGCGUCAAAUUUGGAGCCAAAUUCUGAUAGCUGUAGGUUGAGUGAAGUGUCAGAAGAACACAACUCUACGGGAGAAAGAGGGACAGCAGAUCACAAGCUACUUACUCCAAACAAAGAGAUCAAACGCAUGAAAGCUGCUUUGGUUGGUGCCUUGAGGAGAGAAAAAAUGGCCGAGACUACAAUCCAGGGUUUAAAGGUCGAAAUUGAUCGCACAAAAUGCUUGGCUCAACAAAAAGAUGAAGAUGCUCAGCAUAAUUCAAUUAAGCUGAUGCAUUGUGAGGAGAAAAUUAAACAACUUGAAUUGUUGGUAGAUGGUCAACUAUCAGUUGAGAAGUAUCUUAUGGAGGAAAAUAGGGCUUUAAAAGAGGAGAUUCAGUUUCUUAAAAUGAAGAUUGAUAAAAAUUCAGAAUCAUCCAAACUUGCUUUGGAGAAUGAUAGACUUUUGCAGCAACUAGAAAUAUUCCAAAACUUCUAUGAGCAUGGAGAGCGGGAAAGAUUGCUGGCUGAACUUUCUGAAUUACGCGAUCAGCUCUUGGUCCAUCUCCAAGAAAAAUUUACUUUCUCCAUGAAAAAUGAAAAUCAGGAUAUUGAUGCCACACAGGAGUUAGAAGUUUGCCAGAAUAUGAAUUCUAAGUUGCUUAGGGAAGCAGAUAAAUUACAGACAGAACUUGGAAAAUAUUUGAACUACAAUAAAGUGAAGUCUAAUUCUAUUCUGCGUUCUUCAUUCAAGCAUCCUGAUGAACUUCUGACAACAGAUAAUCGUUCCUUGGACUUAAAAGCCCGAGUUAACCUAGUGAUCCCCUUCUUCCAGCUUCCUCUAUCUCUCUGGGCUAUGUUGUUGGACCCAAGUAAUGGUUGAUCCGUUCUUGGGUAUCAGUGACGAUAAUCAAGUAUAUGCUAAGAUCAAUGUGGAUUUCAGAGAGUAUGGUACUGCUGCUGAUAAUCAGUUAGCCGCGUCAACAUUAUCUGAGCUGAGGAACAAAAUAUCUGAAUAUGACCAGACCAUAAAAAAUGUUUUGGUUCAUAAUUUGACGAACUUCACUGAGCUGAAGCUUUUGGCUUGGAUCACUUUGGCCUGCACAGGCCUAGCAAGCAAGCAAGGAUACACGCGCGCGCUGCACUGCACUCUGGCCACGCCAAUGAGCACAGUUUCUGCAGGAUCUACUAUCCUUGUUGCUGUAACAAUGGUGAAUGAAUGGAAAGAAUGAAGAGCACUUGAUUAACAGAGGAAGAAGAAGAAGAAGAUUAGAGAAAAAUAGAAUCAGUUUUAUUCAUCCUCAAUGGGGAAAAGUAGUUGGAUACAAUCACUAAUCAUGAGCCAAUUAUUUAUACUAGAUCAUCACAAUGGUUGAUGAUUCUCUUAGGCCCUAACCAACUAACAACUUCCUAACUGACUCUAAAACACUUUAACAACCUAGGUGAAUCAAAAACUAACUGAAUCUAACAAACUCUAUUUAACAAACUAACUAACUUGCUUCUCAAGCAAUUAGUUACACUUCCACUUUUGCUAGCUUGCACACCAAGUCAGCUUAUUCACAAUAUGAAUUAACCAUCUAAAGUCUUCUUAGAUUCAACACACCCCCUUAAUUCAUGUUGUCCACUGUCUCAAUUCCCAUUUCACUUCUCAAUUUUUCAAAUACCUGUGUUGUUACAGCCUUGGUUAACAAGUCUGCAACUUGCUCAUCACUUCUGCAGUGCAUUAGGGCCAAGUUACCAUUGCUUACCUGCUCUCUUAAGUAAUGGAACCUUAGCUCUAUAUGCUUGCUUCUUCCAUGAGCAAUAGGGUUCUUUGCAAGAUUGAUAGCAGACACAUUAUCAAUCUUCAAAGUGACAGUUUCACACCUGUCUUGACUGAUUUCCUCAAUUAGGUUUUUCAACCAAAUGGCUUGACAGGUGCUGAGUGAUGCUGCUAUAUACUCUGCUUCACAGGAGGAUAGGGCCACUACAGGUUCCUUCUUUGAACACCAUGAUAUUGGUGAUCCACCAUAGAAAAACAUAUAACCAGCUGUUGAUUUUCUAUCUUCAUGAUCACCACACCAAUUUGAAUCUGUGUAGCCAAUCAGCUUGCAUUCUUUGUCUCUAUCACUUGCAGGGAACAUAAUACCAUAGUUUAUGGUCCCUUUCACAUAUCUAAGUAUUCUUUUCACUGCAAUCAAGUGUGAACUUUUAGGCCUUUCCAUGAACCUGCUAGCAAUCCCUACACUGUAAGCCAAGUCAGGCCUUGUAUUGCACAAAUACCUUAGAGAACCAAUCAUCUUUCUAUAGAAUGUAGGGUCUACAUCCUCUUCUUCUGCACACUUUGUUAGCUGUGACCUUGGCUCAGCAGGUGACAAUGCAACAUUGCAUUUGUCCAUCUCAAACUUCUUCAAAAUCUCUGAUGCAUAUCUAGUCUGGUGCAUUAAGAUUCCUUGCUCAUUCCUCAGAAACUCAAUGCCUAGAAAAUAUGUCAUGAGGCCUAAAUCUGUCAUUUCAAACUCUUCCUUCAAGUCACCCUUGAACUCACUAAUAUAAGAUUCAUUGCUUCCUGUGAUAAGCAAAUCAUCUACAUAUAGACAGAUUAUAAUGACUCCCUUUGCAGCAUCUUUCUUGACAUACACUCCAUGUUCUGUGACACAUUUCUUAAACCCUAUUUCAUUUAAGAACUUGUCAAUCCUUUUGUUCCAGGCUCUUGGAGCUUGUUUCAGACCAUAGAGUGCCUUCUUAAGCUUAUACACCUUAAGCUCUUGACCUUUCACUUCAUAACCAGGUGGCUGGGCAACAUAUACUUCCUCUUCUAUAGGGCCAUUCAGAAAAGCUGACUUCACAUCCAUUUGAUACAUUGGCCAAUCAUUUAGGUUAGCAAGAGCAGUUACUAACCUAAUUGUUUCCAUUCUAGUAACAGGUGCAAAUACUUCAUCAUAGUCAAUACCUUCUUUCUGAAGAAAUCCCUUUGCCACUAGCCUUGCUUUGUAUCUGGUUAUUUCACCCUUUGAGUUCACUUUCAGCUUGUAAACCCACUUUACAUCUAUUGCUUUCUUUCUCUGUGGAAGAUCCACCAGCUCCCAUGUUUGAUUGCUUUCAAUUGAAUCCAAUUCUUCUUUCAUAGCACUUCUCCACUUUUCACUUUGUAGAGCACUAUGCACAUCAAUUGGUUCAGAUUCAGCCAUGAAUGCUAAAUGGAUCAACUCACCAUCAUUAUUCACUUGACCUUCUGAGUUCAUUUCACACUCUUGUAAUCUUGCUGGUAGAACUCUAGGCCUAUUUGAUCUUCUCACCUCAGGCACUGGCUGAUUUACUUGUUCUUCACUAACUUCUUCAAUCAUCACACUAGUUGACUUCUUUCUGUCAUUAGUGUUCCAGUCCCAUUCCUUGAGUUCAUCAAUUAUUACAUCUCUACUGAUCACCACAUUGUUGUUGAUUGGAUCAUAGAGUUUGUAACCUCCAGUUGAGUGAUAACCAACCAAUAUCAUCAUUGUUGACUUAUCAUCCAACUUCUUCCUCAAUUGAUCUGGUGUGUGUUUGAAAACUAGUGAACCAAACACUCUCAUAUGAUUCACAUUUGGCUUGUGUCCUGACCAACAUUCUUCUGGUGUGAUACCCUUCAAUCUCUUUGUAGGGCACCUGUUCAAUGUAUAAGUAGCAGUAGAAACUGCUUCUCCCCAUAACUCCUUAGGUAAAUGCUUUCCCUUCAAUAUACACCUCACCAUAUCCAUUAUUGUUCUAUUUUUUCUUUCAGCAGUCCCAUUUUGCUGUGGAGUAUAUGGUGGGACUAUGUCAUGUACAAUGCCUUCACUGUCACAGAAUUUUGCAAAUUCAUGUGAUACAUACUCUCCACCCCCAUCUGUUCUUAGGGUUUUGAGUCUCUUACCACUUUGUCUUUCAACUGUAGCUUUAAAUUUCUUAAAAAUUUCAAACACAUCACUUUUCUUGCUUAUCAAGUAAGUCCAUAGUUUUCUGCUAAAGUCAUCUAUGAAGCUUACAAAGUACCUGUUACCUCCAAUUGAGCUCACUUGCAUUGGACCACAUACAUCUGAAUACACCACUUCAAGUACACUAUUGGUUUUACUUGCUGCAUGCUUGCUGAAGCUUCCUCUGUGCUGUUUUGACUGCACACACUCUUCACAAAUCUCUUCAGGCACUUGCAGGCUUGGCAAGCCUGUCACCAUCUUUGAUUUUUGCAGCAAGCUGAGGUCCUUGAAAUUCAAGUGCCCCAUUCUAUAGUGCCAUCUCCAUUCUUCUCUGCUUGAUGCAGUCAUCAAGCACUUGUGAUCCAGAACAUUGAGCCCAAUCUUGAAUGUUCUAUUCUUUGACAUUUCAGUUUUUAACAUCAAGUUACCUUUAGUGUUGUACACUUUCAGCAACCUAUUCUCCAUUACAAUUCUGUAAUCUUUCUCUAGCAAUUGGUCUAUACUGAGUAGAUUACAUUUCAUACCUGGUAUGUACAAUACACCAGAAAUCACUGAACACUUGCCAUCCUUUCUUUUGAUUGUUACAUCACCAAUGGCUUGUACUGCAAGACUGCUAUUGUCUGCAAACUUGACAUUAUGAUUCUGAGUAGCCUUUAGGCUUGUGAACCAAUCUUUCCUCCCUGUCAUGUGUGUUGUACAUCCAGUAUCAAGAUACCACUUCUCUUGAAGGUCACUUUCAUCUUUUGUAGUUACAAGAAGCAUAACUGAGCCUUCAUCAUCAUCAUCAUUUCUAGCCAUUUUGGCUUCAGCAUCACUUGAUUCCUCUCUGAAUCUACAUUCAUCUGCAAAAUGACCAUAAUUUUGGCAAUUAUAGCAUUGAAUGUGUUUCUUAUCAAACUUGCCUCUUCCACCUCUGCCACCUCUUCCACCUCUUCCACCUCCAUUGUAACCACCUCUACCACCAUUGAACUGUUUCUUCUGAUUUCCACCUCCUUUGGUAUCUUGAUUCUCUUUUCCAUUUCCAUUCUGAUAACUAUCCUUUCCCUUAUUGCCUUGCCAUUUUCCCUUUCCUUUCUUAUUCUUGUUACCCUGCUGUACUUGUAAUGCUACCUCACCAUUGGAUUUAUCAGAAUUUCUCUGAUUCAUCCUUUGCUCAUGUGCUUCUAAAGACCCUUGCAGUUCCUCAACCUUGAUAGUGUCAAGAUCCUUAGACUCUUCUAUUGCAGCUACCACAUAGUCAAACUUAGGAGUUAAAGAUCUCAGUAUCUUUUCAACUCUCAUUGUACCAGACACAAUUUCACCACAUGCUUUCAUUUCAUUAACUAAUUUUGCAAUCUUUGUAAAGAAUUCACUUACAGUUUCUUUUUCUUCCAUUUGUAGCUGUGCAAACUUGCUUCUUAGGGUUUGUAGCUUCACUUUCUUCACCUUCUGAUCUCCAGCAUAAGCUGUAGCCAAAAUAUCCCAAGCUUGCUUGGCUGAUUCACAAUCUCCAACCUUUUCAAAGAUAUCAGGGCUUACACUUUGAUGGAUUAUGAACAAUGCCUUGUAGUCUUUCUUCUUCAAUUAUUUGUGUUGAGUUCUUUGAACCUCUGUUGCACCUUCUGAGAGUGAUUCCACACCAUUAAUCACUUGAUCCAUCACAUCUUGAUAAUUGAACAAGACUUUCAUUUGUUUGCUCCAAUUAUCAUAAUUCUUUCCAUCCAAGACUGGAAGAUUCGCAGGGAAUUGACCAUUGUUAAAGGUUGCCAUGGUUAAAGCACGAACCAGGCUCUUGAUGCCAGAUGUUGGCGCAGCUGAAGCUUUUGGCUUGGAUCACUUUGGCCUGCACAGGCCUAGCAAGCAAGCAAGGAUACACGCGCGCGCUGCACUGCACUCUGGCCACGCCAAUGAGCACAGUUUCUGCAGGAUCUACUAUCCUUGUUGCUGUAACAAUGGUGAAUGAAUGGAAAGAAUGAAGAGCACUUGAUUAACAGAGGAAGAAGAAGAAGAAGAUUAGAGAAAAAUAGAAUCAGUUUUAUUCAUCCUCAAUGGGGAAAAGUAGUUGGAUACAAUCACUAAUCAUGAGCCAAUUAUUUAUACUAGAUCAUCACAAUGGUUGAUGAUUCUCUUAGGCCCUAACCAACUAACAACUUCCUAACUGACUCUAAAACACUUUAACAACCUAGGUGAAUCAAAAACUAACUGAAUCUAACAAACUCUAUUUAACAAACUAACUAACUUGCUUCUCAAGCAAUUAGUUACACUUCCACUUUUGCUAGCUUGCACACCAAGUCAGCUUAUUCACAAUAUGAAUUAACCAUCUAAAGUCUUCUUAGAUUCAACAGUUUUUUGUUGUCUUGAAACUUUUUUUUGCCUCAUUAUUAUCAGAUUGAGUGAAUGGUGGUACUUUCAUUGUGCUAUCAACAGUUUUAACAAUAUUAUUAAUGGAAGAUAACUGGAAUGAGAAUACUAUUAGGAUGCCUCACAGAUUCAAGAGUGGGUUUAGAGAAGACUCUUCCAUGGCGUGGGUUUUGUCAGAGUUCAGUUCGAGAGCAAGUUAUCAUCUGAUGUUAGUGGAUGGGUUGAUUUUUGUAGAACACGUAGAUUGGUUGAAGGGAUACCAGUUAAAUUUAUAGCCACCGAGCCCCUUGACAACUAGGUUAUUUAUGUUAAGGUUGCUGCUGUGCAGCAAGUGAUAGAUGAAAAGUUUGUUCCUUUUAUGGUCAUGGCACAAUUCUUUGCGGUCACACCAUGAUUUGAAUUGUUCGGAAUUGUGUUGUCUUCUUUGAUUCACAUGUAUGAAUUCAUGGUUUAUCAUGUGAAUUUUGAUGGUAGUGUCAUAUUUUAUUUUGAUA